GACGAACGCUGGCGGCGUGCUUAACACAUGCAAGUCGAACGGAAAGGCCCUUCGGGGUACUCGAGUGGCGAACGGGUGCGUAACACGUGGGUGAUCUGCCCUGCACUUUGGGAUAAGCCUGGGAAACUGGGUCUAAUACCGAAUAGGACCACGCGCUUCAUGUUGUGUGGUGGAAAGCUUUUGCGGUGUGGGAUGGGCCCGCGGCCUAUCAGCUUGUUGGUGGGGUAAUGGCCUACCAAGGCGACGACGGGUAGCCGGCCUGAGAGGGUGACCGGCCACACUGGGACUGAGAUACGGCCCAGACUCCUACGGGAGGCAGCAGUGGGGAAUUUUGCACAAUGGGCGCAAGCCUGAUGCAGCGACGCCGCGUGAGGGAUGACGUCCUUCGGGUUGUAAACCUCUUUCAAUAGAAACGAAGCGCAAGUGACGGUACCUAGAAAAGAAGCACCGGCCAACUACGUG
rnacentral:rRNA from 1 species